AACACACCUUGCGCUCCUUGGUAUUCCGAGGAGCAUGCCUGUUUGAGUGUCAUUUAAUUCUCAACCUUUAUUAGCUUUUGCUGAUAAUGGCUUGGAUGUGGGGGUUUUAUUUGCCGGCUUCUAACGAGGUUGGCUCCCCUUAAAUACAUUAGCUGGUUGCCUUGUGCAGACAUGUCUAUUGGUGUGAUAAUUAUCUACGCUGUGGACUUUCUGCGAGUAUUUAGCACCGCUUCUAACUGUCUGUUAACUUGGACAACAUAUGACAAUUUGACCUCAAAUCAGGUAGGACUACCCGCUGAACUUAA
rnacentral:misc_RNA from 1 species